AUCAACCAAUGCAACCACAACACAAAUAAAUUGAGACACUGAUAUUUUUACGUAAAAAACCCUCUAAAUCAAGGGUAAAACCCACGAGACUUUAGAGUCCGAUAAAAGCUCCACUAUCAUCAAAAGUUCAACUACAAGAUCACAAUAUUAAGACUACAACAAGCAUUCAACUCCAACAAGGCUAACAACAUGUAAUCUUUAGCAAAAGAGAGAAAAAUGAGAUAAUAUCACCAAAAAUGGGCUGGCGGGAAAAUGGCGA